rnacentral:rRNA from 1 species
GACGAACGCUGGCGGCGUGCUUAACACAUGCAAGUCGAACGGAAAGGCCCUGCUUUUGUGGGGUGCUCGAGUGGCGAACGGGUGAGUAACACGUGAGUAACCUGCCCUUGACUUUGGGAUAACUUCAGGAAACUGGGGCUAAUACCGGAUAGGAGCUCCUGCUGCAUGGUGGGGGUUGGAAAGUUUCGGCGGUUGGGGAUGGACUCGCGGCUUAUCAGCUUGUUGGUGGGGUAGUGGCUUACCAAGGCUUUGACGGGUAGCCGGCCUGAGAGGGUGACCGGCCACAUGGGGACUGAGAUACGGCCCAGACUCCUACGGGAGGCAGCAGUGGGGAAUAUUGCACAAUGGGCGGAAGCCGGAUGCGGCAACGCCGCGUGCGGGAUGACGGCCUUCGGGUUGUAAACCGCUUUCGCCUGUGACGAAGCGUGAGUGACGGUAAUGGGUAAAGAAGCACCGGCUAACUACGU